rnacentral:snRNA from 1 species
GGAUGUGAGGGUGAUCUGGCUGCGACAUCUGUCACACCAUUGAUUACCAGGGUUGAUUUGACUGAUCUGACUGGCUAGGCAGAUAGCCCCUUCAUCCCUCAUCACUCCAUGUGCAUCCCUCCCAAAGCUGUGCACCCAGUCGAAGAGGAUGACCAUCAUCAAUAGAGGAGGACCAGUCUUCUGUCAAGGGUAUACCAGUAGCUACACUUCCAUGUUAGAACAUCCAAACAAGCUCUUAAAAAAAAAAAUAAAGAAUGACAUGGUAUCACUGUUUGCUCAUGUGCUCUUCCAGUUUGGGCUGAAUCUCAU